GAGUUUGUCCCUGGGCGUUAUAGGACUCUGGCCGAUAACCAGACUAUCGAAGGUUAAACUCCUUCCAAACUCC
rnacentral:tRNA from 1 species